AGCGAACGCUGGCGGCAUGCCUAACACAUGCAAGUCGCACGGGGGGGCUUCGGCCUCCCAGUGGCGGACGGGUGAGGAACGCGUAGGGACCUGUCGAGGGGUGGGGGAUAACCGCGGGAAACUGCGGCUAAUACCGCAUGACGCCGCGGCGUGACAGCCGGGGCCAAAGGCGAAAGCCGCCCGCCGAGGGGCCUGCGUCCGAUUAGCUGGUUGGCGGGGUAGCGGCCCACCAAGGCGUCGAUCGGUAGCUGGUCUGAGAGGGUGAUCAGCCACACCGGGACUGAGACACGGCCCGGACUCCUACGGGAGGCAGCAGUGGGGAAUAUUGGGCAAUGGGCGCAAGCCUGAUCCAGCAAUGCCGCGUGGGUGAAGUAGGUCUUCGGAUUGUAAAGCCCUUUCGGCGGGGACGAUGGUGACGGUACCCGCAGAAGAAGCCCCGGCUAACUUCGUG
rnacentral:rRNA from 1 species